rnacentral:rRNA from 1 species
UUUGUCCUACGGGAGGCAGCAGUGAGGAAUAUUGGUCAAUGGGCGCGAGCCUGAACCAGCCACGUCGCGUGAGGGAAGACGGUCCUAUGGAUUGUAAACCUCUUUUGUCGGGGAGCAAAAGACGCCGCGCGUGGCGUUCCGAGAGUACCCGAAGAAAAGGCAUCGGCUAACUCCGUGCCAGCAGCCGCGGUAAUACGGAGGAUGCGAGCGUUAUCCGGAUUUAUUGGGUUUAAAGGGUGCGCAGGCGGAAGAUCAAGUCAGCGGUAAAAUUGAGAGGCUCAACCUCUUCGAGCCGUUGAAACUGG